rnacentral:rRNA from 1 species
AUUGAACGCUGGCGGCAUGCCUUACACAUGCAAGUCGAACGGCAGCACGGGUGCUUGCACCUGGUGGCGAGUGGCGAACGGGUGAGUAAUACAUCGGAACAUGUCCUGUAGUGGGGGAUAGCCCGGCGAAAGCCGGAUUAAUACCGCAUACGAUCCACGGAUGAAAGCGGGGGACCUUCGGGCCUCGCGCUAUAGGGUUGGCCGAUGGCUGAUUAGCUAGUUGGUGGGGUAAAGGCCUACCAAGGCGACGAUCAGUAGCUGGUCUGAGAGGACGACCAGCCACGCUGGGACUGAGACACGGCCCAGACUCCUACGGGAGGCAGCAGUGGGGAAUUUUGGACAAUGGGCGAAAGCCUGAUCCAGCAAUGCCGCGUGUGUGAAGAAGGCCUUCGGGUUGUAAAGCACUUUUGUCCGGAAAGAAAUCCUUGGCUCUAAUACAGUCGGGGGAUGACGGUACCGGAAGAAUAAGCACCGGCUAACUACGUG